GUUGUCUGCUCAUAUGUUUUGGAAUAUUGUGAAGAACUCCAAUGAUAUACAUGUAGGGGCAUGUGUCCAAAGCUGAUCCACAUCAUAACAUACUGAUUGGGAAUAAUGACAUAGUACCAAAAGAUGUGCUUAUACUGUAAUUAGCAGAUCUUCACAAAUGAACCUGGCAGAUCUUGGUGCAACCUUACCUUACCAUGUUUACAUCUAACCGUCAGUUUGAGCUGUGUGUGGGUGGUAACACGGACUAUAUACAUGUAUUGCC